rnacentral:rRNA from 1 species
UACGUAGGGAGCGAGCGUUAUCCGGAUUUAUUGGGUGUAAAGGGUGCGUAGACGGGACAGCAAGUUAGUUGUGAAAUCCCUCAGCUUAACUGAGGAACUGCAACUAAAACUACUAUUCUUGAGUGCAGGAGAGGAAAGUGGAACUCCUAGUGCAGCGGUGAAAUGCGUAGAUAUUAGGAGGAACACCAGUGGCGAAGGCGACUUUCUGGACUGUAACUGACGUUGAAGCACGAAAGUGUGGGGAGCAAACAGG